UUCUAUGGGUGGAAAUAGCCUCCUCCAAAUGAGCGGUUCGCCCGCUGGAUCUAACCCAAGGACAUCGCAGAGCAGCGGAGGGGAGAGCGCACCGUCCCCUGCAGCAGCAGCAGCCUGUCCGGCACUCUCUCACCUGCCCCCGGCGGACCCCCUGCGCCAGGCGAACCGGCUCCCCAUCAGGGUCCUGAAGAUGCUCAGCGCCCACACCGGCCACCUCCUGCACCCGGAAUACCUGCAGCCUCUCUCCUCCACGCCCGUCAGCCCCAUCGAGCUGGACGCUAAGAAGAGCCCGCUGGCGCUCCUGGCACAAACCUGCUCGCAGAUCGGCAAGCCGGACCCGCCGCCUUCCUCCAAGCUCAACGCGGUGACCGCCAACGGGCUGCCCGGCGCGGACAAGGAGUCGGGCGCCCGCUCCACCUCCUCCGCCCUCAAGCAGCUGGGCGGCGGCGGCGGCGGCGACUCCCCGGCCGAGGACAAGUCCAGCUUCAAGCCCUACUCCAAAGGCGGCGGGGACCCCCGCAAGGAGGGCGGCUCGGCGGGCGCGGGCCCCGGCGCGGACAAGGCAGGGUUCCGGGUGCCCAGCGCCACCUGCCCGCCCUUCCCGCCGCAUGCGGCCGCCGCCUCCUCCCCGGGCGGGUCCCGGGGCAGCUCCCCGCAGCACGGAGACUGCAAGGGCCAGGAGGACAAGAAGGAGCCCGAGGCGGCGGCCAAGCCCAGCCCCGAAGCGGCGCCGGGGCCCGGGGGCAGCGGUUUGAGCCGGCCCGGCGGGGGCGCAGGGAGCGCAGACACCGGGGCGCAUGGCGAGGCCGCCUCGGGGCGCAAAUCGGAGCCUCCGGCCCUGGCGCCCGCCGGCCACGUGGCCCCGGUGUCCCCCUACAAGCCGGGCCACUCCGUCUUCCCCCUGCCCCCUUCCAGCAUCGGCUACCACGGGUCCAUCGUUGGGGCUUACGCCGGCUACCCGUCCCAGUUCGUGCCCGGCCUGGAUCCUACUAAAGCCGGCCUGGUGAGCAGCCAGCUGCCGGGGACCUUGGGCUUGCCCGGCAAGCCGCCCAGCUCCAGCCCGCUGACCGGGGCCUCCCCGCCCUCCUUCAUGCAGGGAUUAUGCCGAGACCCCUAUUGCUUGAGCUACCACAGCGCCUCCCACCUGGGCACCAGCAACUGCUCCAGCUGCGUGCACGACCCUGGCAGCCUGAAAAGCGGAUACCCCCUGGUGUACCCCACACACCCCCUGCACUCCGUCCACACCACCCUGUCCUCCAGCGCCACCCCGAGCCUGCCCAGCCACCCCCUCUACACCUACGGCUUCAUGCUCCAGAACGACCCCUUACCCCACAUAUGCAACUGGGUGUCUGCCAGUGGACCCUGCGACAAGAGGUUUGCCACCUCGGAGGAACUGCUCACCCACCUACGGACCCACACGGCUCUGCCCGGGGCGGAGAAACUCUUGGCUGGCUACCCUACCUCUGGUCUUGGCUCAGCGGCAUCCUGCCACCUCCACCUCCCACCCACUGCCCCAGGGAGCCCCAACACUUUACCGGGAUCCCUGUCUUUGAGGAGCCCACACACUUUGGGACUAAACAGGUACCACCCUUAUGGCAAGAGCCACUUGCCCACAGCCGGUGCUCUGCCAGUGCCCUCCUUGCCAGCAGCUGGACCCUACUACUCUCCAUACGCGCUGUAUGGCCAAAGACUAACUUCAGCUUCCGCGCUUGGAUAUCAGUAACUAAAGCACCCCCUCCUCAUCCUCCCUCGCUCACCUUCCCUUCCUUGGACUGUGUAUUUAUUUACUGUAUGUUAGCUUAAAGCUGGGAAUAUUAAGUGCAUUAAUAUACCAAUGAAUCAAUGGUAGGCAAAAAGUCUGUGUCUAAAAAAAAAUCCUUUCCUUUGCAGGUGUGGGGCUUUUCUUUUUCCUUUAUUUUCCCUUUUCUUUCUUCUUUUGAAAUUCUGUUUUAUUGUGUCCCCUCCCCAGGAAGUCCUUGCAUGGCCUCUUUUAACAAAUACAUUUUCCCCUCCCUCGUUUUAUCAUUUUGAAAUUCUGUUUCUCUUUGUUUGUACAGUUAACAGAGAUGUAAUUAUUUUUUUUGUAAUGUAUUUUGGGGAAGGGGCAAUGGUAGUGGGGAGGGAGGAAGGGCAGCUGGGAGAACGUCUAUGGCAGUGCUACCCCAGAGCUCUCUUCAUCCCAAAAUGUGGCACUGUCUGCAAAAGCCAAGGAGACCUACUGAUCAGGACAGUGGGUGGACGAUCCCUGCUUCUUUCUAUGGUUUGGAAAAGGACAUAGGAAGUGCCAUACUGAUUCAGACCAGUGGUCCUCCAUCUAGUCCGGUAUCCUGUCUCCUGCUCUCCCGUGCUUGGAAAAUCUGCCUUGCCUUCCAGCACCAGUGGGCUCCUGUACAGACCUAGAACUAGUCUACCAGUCAGCCUGGUCUCUGGACUCCCCAGAUAAUACUGAAGGAGUCCACUGAUGUCUUGGGAUGAGCUGUAAUGGCUGCGCCACUGCAGAUGACUUGCUUUCGCUCGCUGAUCCACCACAGGGCACCUGAUCAAAAUUAAAAGAUGUGGAUUAUGAAUUUGGUGUCCGUGACUCGCUGAUGGGGGCGGGGGAGAAGAGACCCUUCACAGCCGCAGAAGUAGCUAGGAGAGAGCUGCCCAGCCUGGUACAAACUGGGUCAUUUAAUCCAGCGCCCAGGGCCAAAUCCAUCUUGAUCUGAUUUCUACAGGCCCAGUCUACAUACCAAAAACCCCCAUCCCCAAGCCCCAGCUUUUCUUGACCUACAGGAAUGAACCAUGAAUGGGGUGCAGAGCCUGCCCCCCUCCCAUCCCCAAUCUAACGCAGCAGGGAAGGCUGCGGAUCAUUUUGGGUGAAUAGAGCUCCAUCUUGGUAAGUCUUAUUUUGUUAAUAAAUGAAUACUUGGUUAUAUUCACCCUGUGGUGUGUUCUCUCUUGCAUUUUCUCGCCCAUUUCCCCCACCCUCUUGUCUUUAUACAAAUCGCCUCCAUUAGCCAGGCACUUUCUUUGCAGCAGCCGGAAGGUUUUCCGUGAAAAGUGAGCCCACUAACUGGCCACAAAUGGUUUGGGGAAAGAAGGGGAAAUCCCAUAAUGUUGUUGUGAAUGUCACUCCUGAGUGCUGCGGCUUUUGUUCCCUGUAACAAAUGGAAUGGUGUUUGGUGCAGUUUUCAUACAGGCAAUACGAAAAAUGAAGGGCAAGAGAUUGUAACUGAAGAGGAAUAAGAGAGCUGCAGAAGCAGCUGGUGGAGGGUUUUUUGAGAACGGGGUGGGGAAGAGUUGGUGGAGGUGGAGGCUUGAAGGGUUACAGCACCACCUAGUGGCAGAGAGACGCCCAGUAGCGAAUUUAUUUCUCUACCCCUUGUCCUACUUACACCUAUUCUACCUGCACCGCAGUGAUGCACCUGGAAAAGCGCAAGUGCAGCAAAUGAAUCCCUGCUGGCACUGCCUGUGUGCUCGUCUGAGUAACACCAGUUAUAACGGUGCCUAGCAGCUUCCGAGUACAAUUUAUAUGACCCUAUACAGCAUUUUACAAAAAAAUUUUUGAUCAUCUCAGCAGCACGCCGAGUUAGAAAAUUAUCCCCAAUUUGCAGAUGUUGGGCUGGGGGAGGUCAGGGGUGAGAGUGCUUAGUCCUAAAUUGAGUAGACCAGUCCCUCCUGGGACUAGAUAACUGAAUCGAAUUAGAGUCAUGGAGUCCCAGGCCAGAAGGGAUCAUUGUGAUCUAACACAGGCCAUUGAACUUUUCCAGAACAAUUCCUAGAGCAUUAGGGUGUUAAGGAUACCAUUAUCACCAUUCCUGGCCCGAUUAUAACGGUCAUCACUGGACAGUAUGGAGCUAACCGUGCAGAAAGGGAUGUCUGGUACCUUGGUUCAUUAUUAAUAUAUAUGCUCGUGUGGAGGUUUUGCUCAUGUCAUACCAGGCAUGGUUAUAGAGAAAAGGGGUGGGAAUGCUUUUAAGAACCAGGAGCAGCUGUAUGAAGAUCCAAAGCCCCUCAGAAUUUCUCUAGCUAUUCAAUUCCAGAUCAUCUCUGUAACUGCAGCCAUGAGAAGGAAUUUAUAUAUGGCUGGAAAAGCAACAUAAACGUGUUCCCAUAUCUGUUCCUAUACCUCGGUAAAUGUAGGUGCUGCAGAGAGCGAUUUUUCAGUGUGCAGGCAGAGCGAAUGAGAACAGGUUUGAUAAAUGAGUCUGAAAUCCAUAUCCUUCCCAUCCCCAUCCCGCUUGGCAGAAAAGAUUACAAGCUGCCCAACAGCAUCUGCGCCAAGCUCGGAGCAGUUUGCAAAAUGGAAACCUGGGUUGUUUUGGAAGGAAAGGGUGGCUAGUUGGCUGGGAUGGGAAGGCAGCACCUGCCUCUGCCCCCUCUUCCUGUGGUGGGGAGAUGUUCUGCCUUUCCAGGGAGAGAGGCCUGUUUCUUAGCUGAUCUCAUCAGGUUUUAGCAGUAGUGGGAUCUCCAUAGAAAGAUCUAUCUUGCUGCACCUAAUGUGCGUCUCUCACCUGCAAUGCACUCCGUCUGAAGGCUUUUAUCCUGUUGCAUAGGGGUGAAUCAUGGAAUUAAUUUUAGUUAAUUACUCUCUGUAAUAAGUGUCUUGUGCCCUGUAUUUAAAUUUCUGGGUGUUCCUCCAGCUGAAGAGAACAUGCUUAAACGGGCUGCUCGCUAAACGCAAUCUUGUAAUUCCACUAUUCAUCCAAAUUGUGCUGCGGGCAGGCAGCAGUCUGAGCAAGAGAGCACACAGAAGCACUUGAGAUACGCUGGGGUGUGGCCAAGCUGUCAUUCCCCCUGCUCCCUGAUUGCUGGCCAUAAGAGACUCCAGACAGUUUCCCAUGUCCUCACUCUAGGGAACACCACCACCCCUAGGCCUUUCAGGGACAUCAUGGUAACUUUGGGGCUUGGAAGACCCCAGACACACCCUGCCUUUCCUUACUGCAGGAAGGUUUAAAUGUGCUUACGAGAAUUCAGGGGCAGGAGAUAGCUGAAUAACUACAAUCCCAGGGGCUUCCCAUCUGUAAAGCUGGCCCAGUUCCCCCCCCCCCCCCCGCACUUUGAGCUACAUUGUCUUGCUAAGGCUUUGCCUAAGGAGCUGGGGAACUGCCCACGUGAGAGGAGGUUGUAACUUGCCAACCACCAGGACUGCAGGUAGAACUGAUCAGGGAACAAUGACCCCAAGUCAGCACUUGGUUCUGCAGUCCUGUGCAAUGUGUAUGCUGUUACCAUCAAUAGAGAUUAGGUGUAUGCACCCAGGCUGCAGGACAGAGUGGGUCUUUCCUGCCUGCCCCAUUCACCACAGUCCUUCCCCCAAAGGAUUUCCCGCUGCAGCUGCUUUUCACAGGGCCAGGCUGGUAACAGUUUAAUGGGAGGGUGGCUUCUCUUCCCUUUCCUUCUGCUCACAUUUUCCCUUACACCCACCUUCCCUCAACUUGAGCUCUGACUACAGGUGAAUAAACUGCCUGCUGGUUCUGCUUUCUUGCCUUCCCCAGCUGAUGGCACAGAGGAGGCCACAAGUCACUGGAAAUAAAGGGGACCCUUAAAGAGGAGACUGUCAUUGCCCGGAGGGCUGGGUAGAGAGAAGGUGUGUCAUGAGGAUGGGCAGCAUUCCAGCCUGGGUCAGUUUUCAGUGAUGUGGCCCAGGUGCUGAGAAUUACAGCAUGGACACUUUUUUCCUGAUUGUUUUUUCUCAUCUCUUGCUGCAGUCGGGGAAGUGGAUGGGAACUAUGGGGAAGGGUGAAUGGUUUAUCCGAGUUUUGAUUUCAGAUUAGUAAAUUCCAUGGUGUGCCUCUAAGGCACUGGAGAGAGACUACGCUGUUGGCUGGACGGAGACCAGUGCUUUGCGCUAGGCAUGGCCUGCAGCUAGACGUGCCUUCUUGGGAGUGGUGCAGCAGCACGUGUGUGUGUCUGUAAGAGCCUACAGUCCCAGUCCUGCAUAUGCUGACCUUUACACACCAGAGCUGCUCUUUGAGGAGCCUGCAAGUGAAGGCCCCAUCCCAUUUGCAGCAGCAUCUCAUCAUGGCAGGAGGAAGUGGAUCAAUGAGAGGACCUAGAAGGAGCAAAACCCAAAUGAUCUCCAUGAUUAGCACAACUGGCAGGAGAGUUCCCAGUAGGACAAGGGAAAAGCUGAACUGACCGGGGCCCUGAUUCAGAAAGGGAUGCCAGCACCUAACUAACUCUAAACAGAUCUGCCCUUUGGGGGACAUUAAGCCCCCAUUUGAAAAUGCAGCCGACUUGAAGAGUUCCUUCUCGAGUUUAGACGCCCCAUACAAUUCAACCACUGGGACACAGUUCUGAUACGUCCAUACACCAGGAUUGCAACUCUCUAAAUUCCUUGGUCUUCAUGCAGGAAAAUUCCCCAUGGCAGUUGUUUCCUAAAGACUGCAGUACUGGCCCAGACUGUGUAAACACUGCAAAGUCUCCUCUGAUGCCAGUCAACACUCUGUGACUUUCUCUGCUAGGAAAUGAUUGCGUUGCCAACUCCCCAUCUAAUGUACGCCCUGGUUACUGCAGAAUUCAUCUUCUAAUAAGAGCUCUGGGAUGCACUUUAUUAAUUAUUCUAACAAUCUGCACUCCACAGUUUCAGUUUGAUUUGAUUUCAUCCUGUCUUUCUGCAAAAUAUAUGGCUGGGUGCAUCGGAUAACGUAUGGCUUAAUUUAGAGUUGUAUGGGUUUGAAUUACCAUUUUCAUAAUGUGCUGUGCAUUAAUGUGUGACAUCAUUUACACAGAAAAAUGUGCCUGGUUUCAAACUUACUCUGAAAGCAAAAACCACCUAAAGGCAACACAGUGAACCAAAAAUGAGCCUUUCAACCCCAGAUGGCAGUGGGUUUUGUUGGAGGGGAAAGGGGGGAGAAUGUUGCACAGAUAACACAGGUGGGUGUUAGGACAUUGGUAAAUGCAUGUUUGGAUCUGUAUUGGCAGCAAGCAGCUCGCCUCAUUAUUGCAUAACAACAACUUUUCCAGCUCGCCCUGAAUUGCAGGAGACCUCCAGUGGUUGACUCUCAGUUGACCCUGCUCCCAGCUCUCUCCCAUGAAUGGCUAUAAUAACACCAGCUGUCCGUUACUCAAACUCUGACUGAGGAGGAAAAAGCACUGAUUAUCCAAAUACAGUCAUUAAAGGGGAAAUGUGUUUUUAGGACUGUCAGAGUGAUUAAUGAGGGUUAGCAAUCCUUGCAAAUGCACUUGUUUAGUCUAACUGGCAGCCUCUAUUUUCCCAUUGAUUUAUUGCAGCAGUUGCUGAGGCCACAGCGUGUGUGUGGAAAGAGCCAGGACACUUCACAACUGUGUGCUAUUUAAACAGAAAACAUGCAAGAUUUUGUUGCCGGGGUGGGGGGGAGGAGGAUCAAAUGAAAGGCAUGGUGCGUUUUUGCUUUGACUCUGCCUCCGACCCAAAGUGAACAAAGGCAACAUUAUACCUUGUGCUGGAAAAGGAGCGACUUGGAUGCACAUGCAGAGCAGUUCCUGCAUGCUGUGCUCCUUAUAAAUAUCCCCAUUGGUAAAGGCUGAAGUCAAGCUGACCGCAGAAUGAUCUGCCCACCUAAU